GCUCUGGCAUGUGCUAUGAAAGAGUAGACCUACCGACAUACUUCAGCUGAAACGAAAUGGCCUCCGACCACCAGACGAGCGAGCCCCGACGCGUCACCACCCUCAGCCCGAGACGCCGCUCGCUCACUGGGGGACACACACACUCAGCACCUUGGACUGGGACCCCCCGGAGACUUGGAAAACCCCAGAGCCCCGAGAACCCCUGGAACCCCUGACACCCCUGGCACCCCUGGAACCGGAACCUCCAAGACCUCACGUUUUUCUCACUCCUCUUCCCCCCUGAACCCUUCAAUAAAAAGACUCUGAAUUUGAA